GAGGUUGUGGCUCAGAGGUAGAGCAUGUGCUUAGCAUGCACAAGGUCCUGGGUUCAAGCCCCAGUUCCUUCA
rnacentral:tRNA from 1 species